rnacentral:rRNA from 1 species
UACGUAGGCAGCGAGCGUUGUUCGGAAUUACUGGGCGUAAAGAGUGUGUAGGCGGUGUUCCCAGUCUGUUGUGAAAUCUCCCGGCUUAACUGGGAGGGUGCAGCGGAAACUAGAAUGCUAGAGGGUGGGAGAGGUAAGCGGAAUUCCUGGUGUAGCGGUGAAAUGCGUAGAUAUCAGGAGGAACACCUGUGGUGUAGACAGCUUACUGGACCGCUUCUGACGCUGAGACACGAAAGCGUGGGUAGCAAACAGG